CGGCACACUGAUCGGCAAAACUUGAGGUGACCUUAUUGGAGAAUCGGAUCGUGGGAUUCUUCUCCUCGAUGAGUUUCAAAAACUGCGCCGUCGUGAUUAUGCGCUUGUCGGCGUUAGGUCUCAAGCCGAAGAUGGUACGAAUGAGAAUAACGAAUUCGAGAAGUAAAAGGGUGAAGAAGACUGCGGUCAUUGUGUGGAGGUGGGAGAAGAACUCGGAGAGAGCUCCCAUGGCUCCCGG
rnacentral:misc_RNA from 1 species